AGUUAUUUAUCGUGGCUAGUCUGCGCUUGACCGCGCGAGACGAUAGUGCUAGUAGCGUGUAGUGAGUCGGCAGGAACGGUAGGACGUAGCGAGUCGGCAUACGUCCGCGGUGUGCUCUGCCCACGAGUCUGGUCAGGAAUGUGGUGGACGAUAUGUACAUUAUUGUAGAAGUCUCCAACCACAGAAGAAGAGAUAGUGAGAGGUGCAGCGACAAGCAGUAGCAGAGCAUUACGUGGGUGGACCCUCGCUGAAAUUGCUGGAGAGGCCUGUCAUGCUUGCAAAGCUACAACUGGAGCAAGAUCUGGAGGUGUUCCAUACGUCACAAUAGCCACAACAGUCUGCAGCACAACAUGACACAGAGGUGUUCCACAGAACACAGCAGCUGCAGCAGUAGUUGUGUUUAGCAGUC